GGAGCGGUAGUUAAGCUGGUUAUAACGCCGGCCUGUCACGCCGGAGGCCGAGGGUUCGAGCCCCUUCCGCUCCGCCA
rnacentral:tRNA from 1 species